UCCGAGGUAGUGUAACGGUAACACCAUCAACCGCAGAUUGCGGAGUAGUACGAUGAUACGGAGUUCGACUCUCCGCCUCGGAA